rnacentral:rRNA from 1 species
UACGAGUGCUCCAAGCGUUAUCCGGAAUCAUUGGGCGUAAAGGGUGUGUAGGUGGUUGUGUUAGUCUUCUGUUAAAUUCUUCGGCUUAACCGGGGGCAUGCAGGGGAAACGGCACAACUAGAGGAUGCGAGAGGAACAUGGAACUCAUGGAGUAGGGGUGAAAUCCGUUGAUAUCAUGGGGAACAUCGAAAGCGAAGGCAAUGUUCUGGCGCACUCCUGACACUGAGACACGAAAGCGUAGGUAGCGAAUGGG